rnacentral:rRNA from 1 species
UACGGAGGGUGCAAGCGUUAUCCGGAUUCACUGGGUUUAAAGGGUGCGUAGGUGGGUAGGAAAGUCAGUGGUGAAAUCUUCGGGCUUAACCCGGAAACUGCCAUUGAUACUAUUUAUCUUGAAUACUUUGGAGGUAAGCGGAAUAUGUCAUGUAGCGGUGAAAUGCUUAGAUAUGACAUAGAACACCAAUUGCGAAGGCAGCUUACUACACAGUUAUUGACACUGAGGCACGAAAGCGUGGGGAUCAAAACAGG